AUGGACGGGGACUCAAUGCCAGUCGCCCUGCCGGCACCGCCGGAGGAGGAGAAGGAGCAGCAGCAGCCGGCGGCCGAUGCGAUCCAGCUCCAGCCUCUCGAAUCGGAUCUAGGUCAGGCGGUCAAGGAAAACAGGGAGAAGACUUCACAAGGUCAAAGUUCAUCUCAGGAUACAAACUUUCUGAACCAUGCUCAAAGAGGUAGUUUUGCAGACGAAGAUAUAAAAAUUCUUCUUAAAUGUGCAAGGCAGUUCAAUCCGAUGCUUGAUUAUGUUGAUACUUCGUGCUGUUCUCGUAAUCUUAUCUGUGGAGAGAGCUAUUACCGUGUGGGUGCCGCGUUAAGUAAUCCUGAGGGGUGGACAUGUUUCGUUAAUUGCAUUCUCCAGUGUGUGGUUCACACUGUUCCUCUGGUGUUGAAGCUUCAAAAAGAUGAUCACACAGAUGCAUGUCCCGGUGCCUCUGGCAAAUUCUGCUGUUACUGCUCCCUAAAAGUCCAUGCUGAUGAAGUUAUCAGUCUCUCUGGGGCUGUUCUUUACCCAAAGAAGUUUGUCGAACACCUGAAAUUAUUUUCAGAAAAUUGCCGGCGGGGAAGGCACCAAGAUGCCCAUGAAUUCCUCCGCUGCUUGCUUGAUAAAUUAGAUGAGGCCUCUGUCCCUCCCAGGUCCCCAUCAUCUGAGAGACCCUCUUCAAUUGUCACACAGGUUUUUGGAGGACAGCUAAAAAGCCAGUUGCAUUGCCCAGAGUGCAACUAUUGCUCAGACAGAUUGGAGCCUUUCCUUGACCUUAACUUGGAGGUUAUCCCGAUGGCCACUGUCAUGGAUGCACUAAAAUCUUUUACCAAGAUUGAGGUGUUUGAAAAUUACGGUUGUGAUGGGUGCAAAUCUCGUGUGAACAUGGAAAAGCAAUUAAAGGUGGAGCAGGCUCCAGAAGUUCUUGUAAUCCAGCUCAAGCGGUUUCAAAAUUUUGGAAGUCAUAUAACUAAGAUUGAAGACUGCAUGAUGUAUCAGGAAGAGCUGGACUUAAACCCAUUCAUGAGCUCCCCGGAUAAUAAACCUCAGAAAUAUGAUUUGUAUGGAGUUGUAGAACACGAGGGUGCUCCAUCAAAUGGUCACUAUGUUUGUUAUAUCCGUUCGUCACGAACUAAUUGGUUUCACUUCAAUGAUUCUAAGGUUAUGAAAAUCAACGAUGCCAUGGCUUUGGAGAGUGAAGCAUACCUUCUAUUCUAUGCGAAGCAAGGUUCAUCCCCGUGGUUCUCUACCUUACUUAAGAGAAAAAACUACGUUUCCGGUGACACUGAGGAGGGUGGUUACAGUAGCAGUAGCAGUGAAGAUGACUAUUAUCCUGAAGGCCUGUCUUGGCAUAAUGAUGGCGACAAAACCAGAUCGGCGACGAAAGAAGAAACAGAUCUGCAGCUUAGACAAAUAAUAUCUAUGCAAAAAGAGAAGUGCCGCGAGAGAGAGAUUGAAGAAAAAGCGAAGGCAGAAGGAGACAGCAGCAUCCAAACUACUUGUCCUGAAAGCUUGUCUUGGCGUAAUGAUGACGACAAAACCCGAUCAGCGAGGAAGCGCACGUGGGAGUGGGACAACAACCUCGAAGCGGUGGAAGAGGAAGAGGAAGAGGAGGAAGAAGAAGAUGAUGAUGAUGAUGUUGAAGAAGACCAUACUACUAUGUCUGCUCGGACUAAUUAUCUUGGGUGA
rnacentral:rRNA from 1 species